rnacentral:rRNA from 1 species
GUGGGGAAUAUUCCGCAAUGGACGAAAGUCUGACGGAGCAACGCCGCGUGAGUGAUGAAGGUUUUCGGACUGUAAAGCUCUGUUGUUUAGGACGAAAGUGCCUGUUGCAAAUAGUUACAGGUAUUGACGGUACUGAACGAGGAAGCCACGGCUAACUACGUGCCAGCAGCCGCGGUAAUACGUAGGUGGCAAGCGUUGUCCGGAAUUAUUGGGCGUAAAGAGCAUGUAGGCGGGAAUCUAAGUCUGUUGUGAAAAUGCGGGGCUCAACCCCGUAUUGCGAUGGAAACUGGGUUUCUUGAGUGCAGGAGAGGAAAGGGGAAUUCCCAGUGUAGCGGUGAAAUGCGUAGAUAUUGGGAGGAACACCAGUGGCGAAGGCGCCUUUCUGGACUGUGUCUGACGCUGAGAUGCGAAAGCCAGGGUAGCGAACGGGAUUAGAAACCCGUGUGUCC